rnacentral:rRNA from 1 species
UACAUGUGGGGCAAGCGUUGUUCGGAAUUACUGGGCGUAAAGGGUGCGUAGGUGGUUUGUUAAGUCUGCUGUGAAAUCCCCGGGCUCAACCUGGGAAUGGCAGUGGAUACUGGCAAGCUAGAGUGCGGUAGAGGGUAGUGGAAUUCCCGGUGUAGCAGUGAAAUGCGUAGAGAUCGGGAGGAACACCAGUGGCGAAGGCGGCUACCUGGACCAGCACUGACACUGAAGCACGAAAGCGUGGGGAGCAAACAGG